CUGAACCAGCCAAGUAGCGUGAAGGAUGACUGCCCUAUGGGUUGUAAACUUCUUUUAUACGGGAAUAAAGUGAGCCACGUGUGGCUUUUUGUAUGUACCGUAUGAAUAAGGAUCGGCUAACUCCGUGCCAGCAGCCGCGGUAAUACGGAGGAUCCGAGCGUUAUCCGGAUUUAUUGGGUUUAAAGGGAGCGUAGAUGGAUGUUUAAGUCAGUUGUGAAAGUUUGCGG
rnacentral:rRNA from 2 species